rnacentral:rRNA from 1 species
UCCGACUGUUUAACAAAAACAUAACCUUUAGCCAAACAAAUAUUAAAGGCAACGCCUGCCCAGUGAAUAAUUAAACGGCCGCGGUACCCUAACCGUGCAAAGGUAGCGUAAUCACUUGUCUAUUAAUUGUAGACCUGUAUGAAAGGCAAAAUGAGGGCCUAACUGUCUCUUAUAAUAAAUCAAUUAAACUGAUCCCCCGGUCCAAAAGCCGGGAUACUAACAUAAGACCAGAAGACCCUGUGAAGCUUAAACUAAACUAUUAAAACACAUAAUAGCUCCUUUCGGUUGGGGCGACCUUGGAAAAAAAAAGAACUUCCAAUAGGCAAACAAGCCACAACAAGACCCAGCAUAGCUGAUAACUGAACCAAGUUACUCCAGGGAUAACAGCGCUAUCUUCCUCAAGAGCCCAUAUCAAAAGGAAGGUUUACGACCUCGAUGUUGGAUCAGGACAUCCUAAUGGUGCAGCCGCUAUUAAGGGUUCGUUUGUUCAACGAUUAACAGUCCYACGUGAUCUGAGUUCAGACCGGAGA